rnacentral:rRNA from 1 species
GGAGGAGAACGAAAUAAAAUACUUCUGUAGUUCACGCAGUAACCGAGGACACUAGGGUGGCGGGAGUUUACUCUUUCCGUGCAGUGGGUAACACAGUAAGUGUCCCGGCUGGGGAGUACCGCGGCAAGCCUAAAAAUCAAAGAAAUUGACGGGGGCCCGCACAAGCAACGGAGCGUGUGAUUUAAUUCGACGCAUCGCUCAUCACCUUACCAAGGCUUGACAUCCCAGGAACCCGUCCGAAAGGGUGGCAUGCCCUUCGGGAACCGUGCGACAGGUGGGGCAUGCAGUUGGUCAGCUUGUGUUGUGAGAUGUUGGGCUAAGUCCGGCAACGAGCGCAACCCUUGUUCUUAGUUGCCAGCGAGUAAUGGCGGGAACUUUAAGGAGACUGCCGGUGACAAACCGGAGGAAGGUGGGGAUGAUGUCAAGUCAUCAUGGCCCUUACGGCCAGGGCUACACACGUACUCCAAUGGUGGGGACAGAGGGUGGCGAAGCCGCGAGGGGGACCAAUCCCAGAAACCCCAUCCUAGUCCGGAUCGGAUUAUGCAACUUGAUUCCGCGAAGUUGGAAUCGUUAGUAAUCGCAGAUCAGCAUUGCCGCGGUGAAUACGUUCCCGGG